UUUCCGGGGAUCCCACGCUCCGGAAUGUGUGCCGGCCACACGGUGUGUGUGAUUUGCUUCUGUCCCCACUGAGCUUGGCCGGCCCCCAACGUCCCGAUCCCAGCAUACGACAGAGUUAUCGCCCGAGUCAAAAUUCCCUGGGACAGAUCCCACUCCCAUCCUGAGUCUGUGCGAGUCCUCUUGCGGCCCCUUCCCGGGACUCACAAAGGAGGCAGAGUGAGACACAGCCCUCCUCGCAGGCAGACACCGGCUCCCGUUUGGGGAAUCUGCCCCCCGAGACACGUGUCCAGCUCCUUAGGGAAAGAGUCGUGAUAAAAGCUUGGACUUUCUCAGAUUCCACUUCCCUCCGGAGGGCCGCCCGGAGCUCUCCCUGUCCGGCUCGGGGACGGGGGUCUGCGGAAACAGAAGCAGGGGGAAGAUCUCCGGCUGAAAAUCCGGAAGCUUCUCCAGCAUAUCCUAGGGGCUCCUUCACAGAAAGAAGUUUCUGCAUCUGUCCAAUGGGCAUUCAGACUCGUUGGCUUAAUGGAAGAAGCCGUGUUUGCAUUCCUCUUCUGAGGCCGAACCCCCAGAUGCUCUGGCAGAUUCCACGUGGAGUCUGAGCAGACAUGAGUACGGCUGGGAAAGGGACGGGGCAGGCACAGGAUUUCUGCCCGAAGGUUCUCCUGUCCACCGAGCUGUGUUCCAGUGAGGAUGUCCUGCUUUUCUCGUACUUCUGUGUGUUUCUGUUUCCUCCUUUGUCCUAGUGAGCGUUAUUUAAAAAAAAAAAAAAUCUUUUUGGUCAUAUGGAACUGUCCUUUUUUAGGGGAGGGGGGGAGUACUAAAAUGAUACUGAGUAACAGGAAGUUAAUCUCCUUCGUCUGGUAAUGCAGGCUUCUAGUAAGUUAAUUGGAUUUUCUACCUAAACGUGGAUAAAGUCAUUUACGCAGCAACAUUUCUCCAGAUGAGAUCGCUCGCUUAGAAUGCAGCGUGGCUCUGGUCUUCGGGCUCUCGGGCAUGAAUUGUGACGCUUGUCUGUAAACCUCGUUCCCUUGGACACGUCCUUACAGGUAAAUAAAUCAGCAAAGGAACGAUUAGUUCCUAGGCCC
rnacentral:lncRNA from 1 species